rnacentral:rRNA from 1 species
CAAAAACAUCUCUUAUAUAAUAAUUAUAAGUAGAAUCUGCUCAAUGAUUUUAAUAGCCGCAGAAUACUGUGCAAAGGUAGCAUAAUCACUAGCCUUUUAAUUAAAGGCAAGCAUGAAAGAUUUAACAAUCGAGUCUCUUUUUCUUUUAUGGUAAAAAAUUAUACUAAGUAUCAAAAUAUGCUUAUAAAAUAUUUAGACGACAAGACCCUAUCGAACUUAACUUAAGUUAAGCUGGGGCAGCUAUGUAAAUAUAAUUUUACUCCAUAUAAUAUAAAAUAUGACCCAUAAAAUUGAAUAGAACAAGUUACCGUAGGGAUAACAGCGUAAUUUACCUUUGAAGCUCUUAUUUAAAGGGGAUAUUGCGACCUCGAUGUUGAAUUAAUUUUACUUCUAAACGCAAUAGUUUAGCAUGUAAGUCUGUNCGACCU